ACGCUCGACACCUACGGGAGGCCGCAGUGGGGAAUAUUGCACAAUGGGGGAAACCCUGAUGCAGCAACGCCGCGUGAAGGAAGACGGUUUUCGGAUUGUAAACUUCUGUUCUUAGUGAAGAUAGUGACGGUAGCUAAGGAGCAAGCCACGGCUAACUACGUGCCAACAGCCGCGGUAAGUACUGAGCGGGCGUGGCAAGGAC
rnacentral:rRNA from 1 species